rnacentral:tRNA from 1 species
GCUCUCGUAUUUCAACGGAUAGAAUGUAGGCCUCCGAAGCCUGAGAUCCAAGUUCGAGUCUUGGCGAGAGCA